GCCCAAGGGAUCGGGAUAACACCUGGAAACAGAUGCUAAUACCGGAUAACAACAGAUGAUGCCUAUCAACUGUUUAAAAGAUGGUUCUGCUAUCACUCUUGGAUGGACCUGCGGUGCAUUAGCUAGUUGGUAGGGUAACGGCCUACCAAGGCGAUGAUGCAUAGCCGAGUUGAGAGACUGAUCGGCCACAUUGGGACUGAGACACGGCCCAAACUCCUACGGGAGGCAGCAGUG
rnacentral:rRNA from 1 species